UGAGAGUGCACGCCUGGCGGCCUGCAAACACGCCCAUGCCGUAGAAUACGCGAAUCGGGGAGCGGAAGCCGGUGGGAAUCCGGCGCGGUCGCGCCACUGUAUCCGGACCACAUGCCACGGCGCAUUAUGUUUCGGUAGCCAGACCUGCCCCUGUAGUACGGUCGUU
rnacentral:ncRNA from 2 species